AUAGCGCCCGUCAUAUCAAAACGAGACACAAAGUUCCGUACUGCUAUUUCAGCAAAGGAACGUUUGCUUGUCACUCUACGAUUUAUAGCUACAGGAGACUCAUACAAGUCCCUGAUGUACUUGUUUCGUAUUCCGGUCAGCACGAUUUCUCUGAUCGUACCUGACGUAUGUAGAGCCAUUUUUGACGUAUUGAAAAGGGAAAAUUAUUUGAAGACUCCUGAAACAACAAGCGAGUGGAUGCAGGUGGCAAAGGGGUUUUAAGAGAACUGGAACUUUCCACACUGCAUUGGGGCAUUGGGUGGGAAGCAUAUUGUGAUGCAAGCUCCAAAAGACAGUGGAAGCUAUUAUUAUAAUUAUAAACAUUGCCACAGUGUUGUAUUAUUGGCACUUGUAGAUGCCAGUUACAAGUUGUUAUACAUGGAUGUAGGCUGCAGUGGAAGAGUUUCAGAUGGUGGUGUAUUCAGUACCUGUUUCUUAUCUUCAGCCUUGGAGCAAGGACGUCUUGACAUUCCUCUGCCCAAACCACUUCCUGGCAGAGAAAAGGACACCCCCUAUGUAAUCAUUGCAGAUGAUGCAUUUCCAAUGAGGUCAUAUUUAAUGAAGCCCUAUCCAUUCCAUAACCAACCGGGUCCGAACAGAGUGUUUAAUUACAGGUUAUCGAGGGCCAGAAGAGUUGUGGAAAAUUUUUUUGGACACAUUGCACAACGGUUUAGGAUAUUGAGGCGUCCAUUGUUACUAGGUCCUGAAAAAACUGUGACAAUAGUUUCAGCUAUAU